UACGUAGGGUGCAAGCGUUAAUCGGAAUUACUGGGCGUAAAGCGUGCGCAGGCGGUUAUGUAAGACAGUUGUGAAAUCCCCGGGCUCAACCUGGGAAUUGCAUCUGUGACUGCAUAGCUAGAGUACGGUAGAGGGGGGAUGGAAUUCCGCGUGUAGCAGUGAAAUGCGUAGAUAUGCGGAGGAACACCGAUGGCGAAGGCAAUCCCCUGGACCUGUACUGACGCUCAUGCACGAAAAGCGUGGGGGAGCAAACAGGAUUAGAAA
rnacentral:rRNA from 1 species